rnacentral:rRNA from 1 species
GAUGAACGCUGGCGGCGUGCCUAAUACAUGCAAGUCGAGCGAACAGACGAGGAGCUUGCUCCUUCGACGUUAGCGGCGGACGGGUGAGUAACACGUAGGUAACCUACCUAUAAGACUGGGAUAACUUCGGGAAACCGGAGCUAAAACCGGAUAAUAUUUCGAACCGCAUGGUUCGAUAGUGAAAGAUGGCUUUGCUAUCACUUAUAGAUGGACCUGCGCCGUAUUAGCUAGUUGGUAAGGUAACGGCUUACCAAGGCAACGAUACGUAGCCGACCUGAGAGGGUGAUCGGCCACACUGGAACUGAGACACGGUCCAGACUCCUACGGGAGGCAGCAGUAGGGAAUCUUCCGCAAUGGGCGAAAGCCUGACGGAGCAACGCCGCGUGAGUGAUGAAGGUCUUCGGAUCGUAAAACUCUGUUAUUAGGGAAGAACAAACGUGUAAGUAACUGUGCACGUCUUGACGGUACCUAAUCAGAAAGCCACGGCUAACUACGUG